rnacentral:rRNA from 1 species
AGUAACACGUAGGUAAUCUACCUUCGGGUGGGGAAUAACCCAGGGAAACUUGGGCUAACACCGCAUAAUGCAGCGGCACCACAUGGUGACAGUUGUUAAAGCGGGGGAUUUUAGGACCUCGCGCCUGAAGAGGAGCCUGCGGCGGAUUAGCUAGUUGGUGAGGUAACGGCUCACCAAGGUAACGAUCCGUAGCCGGCCUGAGAGGGCGGUCGGCCACACUGACACUGACAUACGGGUCAG